CUAGCGCGUCUAGUGUGACAGCUGUUUUCCAGUUUCUCUGCUCACCUCUCGGGUCUCGUUCCCCUUCCUCACUUCCAACGAGCUUCUCCCGCCUUCUUUUGGUGUAUGGAAAACGGAAGCCAUGAAACUCGAGAUCUUUACGGUGACAAACUAAAGCUUCUGUCUACCCGAAUGGGAUGUCUCUCCAACAGCUAACACACACGGAGCGCGUGUGCCAGGAGCUGCCCUCUGUGUCUCUCAUACAACAGCUCAUUUAGCUUUCGCAACAGAACCAGGAGGAGAGUAUAAGGAAUACAGAGUACAGGCACCAGAGUCAGAGACCUUCAUUCUGAGUUCUGAGAGUUGUGUGCUGUGUGACCCUGGGCUUAUCGAGAUGAAACAUAUCACAUCUGCCAGGAAGGUGUUGGAUCCCAGUGGGAAACAGCAAGAAGUCAACAUGUAAUUAUAAGCCAGUGGUAGAUGUGCCACCACCCAGGUAAUCACAAGAGGAAUGUCUUGGACGUGACAGUUUUGGGGGUCAUUUGCAGAGAGAAAAGAGCUAAAGCUGUGGGAAGGGAUAAUGUUAUCAAAGAGGGAUGGGCUUUGCCCAAUCCUUUGAAAAACACUUGUGUUUAGGGACUGAGAGUGGGGAGAGAAGGAUAAGGGGCUAAUAUUUGCUGAGACCCUUCUAGUGCCAAGUGUCAUGCUGUUGAUGACACAUUAUCCCAUUUAAUGCUCACAACUUACCAGGAAGAACCACUGGUUCUUUAUUUUGUAAAUGGGAAAACCGAGCCCCUUAGAGUUUAAGAAAUGUGCUGAAGGAUGUUGCCUAAAUUUUGUCUUUUCCAUGAGACCUUCCCUGAUCAUCCUUUUUAGAAUUGCAUCUCGCCCCUGCCUCCAC